AAAGACGUUCCGCUUGUUUACACUGGAGACAAAUUUUCCUCAAUUGACGCAAUCCCAUUGAUGAAAUAAUGACUUUCUUCCUCAUUUAAAGGCACGAGGUCCUCAAGGCUGGCCGUUUCAUUCCAUGAGGAGGAUGAGAAGCUGCUGGCCGAGCGGAGUUCUGCACCUUGGGCUUUCACCACUCCUGUGUCCUCCUGGGCCUCUGCGCUGCCAUGGCUUCUUGCCCCUUGCAGUCCAGCUGCGCGUAGGCAGGAAGCAGCACCCAUGCGUGGGUAGGAGCCCCUCAUCAUCCUAAGUGGACCCAAGGAGAAGCUAAGGCAAGAGGUAGAAGUCAAAUACUCUCCAUUUUCCAGAAAGGAAAAAAAUCAAAGUAACAAUGAAGCUUAUUCUAGAACAGAAAGUGUUUGGCCUGAGCUGCGGCCUAGAUACAGAUGUCUUGUGUAUGUCAGCCUUCUUCCGGCCACGAGACCAUUGGGGCUUGCUACCACUUCAAAAGGAAGAGGAGGGAA